AAUUGGUGGAAGAAUAAUGAAUCAUAAUAUCCGGUGCUUUCAAAAUUAGCUAGAAAUAUAUUGAAUGUUCCAAUUCAACCAUUUAUCGGAGAACGCUUUUAGUCAGGGAUGACGACAACUUAGAGACAACUGACACUCAUUGGGAAGCCAUGCUAUGAAUGUUCUAGUUAGCCUCAGAGAUUGGAUUAGAGUGGAAUGAAGAAAUCAAGGAAUGGAGGAGGAACCUAAAGAAGAACAGAAUCUUGAAGAAAUUAUGACUUCAAGAGAGAAUUCA
rnacentral:lncRNA from 1 species